rnacentral:snRNA from 1 species
GGCUUUGCGCCAUGGCACAAUCGCAGCCAAUGAGGUUUACCUGAAGCGUGAUUACUGCUAACUGAAAAAUACGCCACGGCCUUCCCUCCCACACUAUUCUUCACAAGUUCCGUGUACAAGCCUAUUUUAUAGGCUAGAAGUACAGGUUCUCACGUUAAACCUCAAGUAUUUG